rnacentral:rRNA from 1 species
CCUACGGGUGGCAGCAGUGGGGAAUAUUGGGCAAUGGGCGCAAGCCUGACCCAGCAACGCCGCGUGAAGGAAGAAGGCUUUCGGGUUGUAAACUUCUUUUCUCAGGGACGAAGCAAGUGACGGUACUUGAGGAAUAAGCCACGGCUAACUACGUGCCAGCAGCCGCGGUAAUACGUAGGUGGCAAGCGUUAUCCGGAUUUACUGGGUGUAAGGGGCGUGUAGGCGGGAAAGCAAGUCAGAUGUGAAAACCAUGGGCUCAACCUGUGGCCUGCAUUUGAAACUGUUUUUCUUGAGUACUGGAGAGGCAGACGGAAUUCCUAGUGUAGCGGUGAAAUGCGUAGAUAUUAGGAGGAACACCAGUGGCGAAGGCGGUCUGCUGGACAGCAACUGACGCUGAGGCGCGAAAGCGUGGGGAGCAAACAGGAUUAGAUACCCGGGUAGUC